rnacentral:rRNA from 1 species
GACGAACGCUGGCGGCGUGCUUAACACAUGCAAGUCGAGCGGUAAGGCCCUUUCGGGGGUACGACGAGCGGCGAACGGGUGAGUAACACGUGGGUGACCUGCCCUCCAGCUCUGGGAGUAAGCCUGGGAAACGUAGGGUCUAAUACUGGAUAUGACUCCACGGUGCAUGUCGUGGGGUGGAAAGCCUUGUGCGGCUGAGGAUGGGCCCGCGGCCUAUCAGCUUGUUGGUGGGGUGAGGCCUACCAAGGCGACGACGGGUAGCCGGCCUGAGAGGGCGACCGGCCACACUGGGACUGAGACACGGCCCAGACUCCUACGGGAGGCAGCAGUGGGGAAUCUUGCGCAAUGGGCGAAAGCCUGACGCAGCGACGCCGCGUGAGGGAUGACGGCCUCGGUUGUAACGUAC